rnacentral:rRNA from 1 species
UAAUACGGAGGGUGCGAGCGUUAAUCGGAAUUACUGGGCGUAAAGGGUGCGUAGGUUGUUUGAUAAGUUAGAUGUGAAAGUCCUGGGCUUAACCUGGGGACUGCAUCUAAGACUGUUAGACUUGAGUAUAGGAGAGGGUAGUGGAAUUUCCGGUGUAGCGGUGAAAUGCGUAGAGAUCGGAAGGAACACCAGUGGCGAAGGCGGCUACCUGGCCUGAUACUGACACUGAGGCACGAAAGCGUGGGGAGCAAACAGGAUUAGAUACCCUGGUAGUCCACGCUGUAAACGAUGUCAACUAGCUGUUGGUCAUAUUAAUAUGAUAAGUGGCGCAGCAAACGCGAUAAGUUGACCGCCUGGGGAGUACGGUCGCAAGAUUAAAACUCAAAUGAAUUGACGG